AACCCACACCGUACUCCCCUCUUCUCCCUACCACCAUCUAACACCCCCACUUGUUGUGCCGGGCCCUUACGCCUACCUCCAAAUCUUCUCAAGAUAUGUUUCCCACUUUCAGCCGAGGUGACUGAUGGAAGGAACUUUUUGGUCAUUCUUUUAGAUUGCGUAGGCGUGCCACCACCAAGCCACCGAAUGGCUUAGAUAGAAAGGAUCGGAUUGUUGUGAUCGCACUUCUGACUUCUAAUAAGC
rnacentral:lncRNA from 1 species